rnacentral:miRNA from 1 species
GGGCACCUCGUCAUUGGCAGG